GGCCUGCGGGAACAACACCGACAGUGGUCACGGCGGGGCCGCGGUCGCGCUCCUCCGCCGCAGCUGCACCAUGUUUGGGCCGGCGGGACGCUGACCCUGCGGGCCCUGCGCUACCCCCGGCCUCCCGCCGGGCCCUGCGCGCAGCUCCCCCGCCGACAGCCCCGCAGGGGCAUCUCCCGCCCGCCCCCCGCAGCCCUGGGCAGAGCGGGGCAAACGCGCCGGAAUAACGAUGCAGCCGGGCAACCGCAACCCCAGCGGCAGCUGUGCGGCGGCAGGCAGCCUCCCCCUCCCAGAGCCGUGCAGAGAAAUGUCACGAGAGGCGGGCGACGAGAACUGCCCGGUGACAGCUCUGCAGUUAAACGCUGCCUCCUCUUUGCAGUUCAUGCGGUACAACAGCGGUGAAGCAGCCAUGCAACGAGACAGAGCGGAGCUGCCUCUCUGACAGUGCUGCAGACAAGGAACAGGGCAUUUACCUGGCAGCUUCGGUUCCCUCCGUUCCCAGGGGAUGAGUGAAGAUGAUUCCAGGGAGCUCAGGCAAGUGAAGGGGAGAUACAGCUCCUACCCAGGUGGUCUCUAGCCAGCCCUGCAUCCUGUGGACAAGUAAAGAUGUGAAAGGGAAAGGAAAUGAGGAGAGGCAAGGAGAUGCUGCUGCGAAUGAGUUUGGGCAUCGGCAUACCCUCAAGAGAUGUUCCAUUGUAUAAUAAACUGAACCAGAUACUGGAAGGACAUAGUGUCCAGAAGACUUCAGCUGGUGACAUUCUUCAUUGUUAGAAGAAAAUAUCACAGGAAAGGAGGGUACAGAGAAGUGGUAACAUGAGAAGCAAAAGACACAAGUUUGAACAAUGGAAAUUCUAGUUAAGUGUAAGAAAAAAAAUUAACAUAACAAUAGUUAAACACUGGAAGAGGUUGCCCAGAGAAGCUGAGGACUCUCUAUUCUCGGAGCUAUUCAAAACUCAUGGCCCUGAACAAGCGGGCCUUGUUGGACCUGCUCUGAGCAGGACAAGCUGAGCUCUCGCUGGGCGCCGCUGUGCUCCAGGUGUGACAGUGUGGAGGUCUCCAGUAGUGACUUGACUGAACUGAGCUACUUACCUCUGAACUGAGAAUAUCAAUGACUGAAUAAUUUCCCAUUAUGCUGAAUUUACAUUAGAAAAUACUGAUUUGGGCAUAAGCCCCUACUGCGAAAGCUAGAGUAUGCCUAAAGCUAUAAGCUAAAGAUCAAACCCCUUUUGUUUGUGGGGAUAAAGACAACUGGUGAAGCUCCUUAUAUGAACUUGGAAGAGAUUAAGCCUUCACAGCCGAACAGAUCAGAUAGUGGGCAGGGAACAUAAAGCUGUCAGUCAUAAUGCAGAAAAUGAAGUUACCACAAAUGAACUUUUUCUUUGGAAAGCAGCAGGAAGAUCAAAUUAAUAUAUUGCAGUAAGGGGAUACUUUAUAUUCCAUCAUUAUCUACUAGAACUUGUUAAAAAAUAACUAGUCGUGAAAAAAACCCCACGAAUUAAGGGAACCAGUUAAUCUGCAGAGAGUUUUUUAAGGAGUUAAUUACAAAACAAUUUGAAUAAUUUUGAACUUAAACAACUGCUUGAACUCUGAAGAAAUGCUAUUUAGUCUGGAAAAACCUACCAUUUUACCCAUAAUUAAAAUGGGUGAGUGCCAUGACAUGAAGAACUCCAGGCCAUGUAGUCUGCCCUGGGGAGAAAUUGUAGAGCACGUGCUGUAUCCUGUAUCAUAGUGAUUAAGGAAGUUUCUUUUCCCUGGGUUUCCCUAACGAUGACUAAUGCCAGUCAACAAGAGAAGGGCAGGCACUGCUGUGGAAUGGAUGUGGCUUCUUCCUAACCCUGCUACCGUCAGACCAUGGUGUAUUUCCAGCUGGCAGGAGCUGAAGGCUUUCCAGCUCUGCAUGGUGCCCUGAUGUUUCUGUUGCUUCUUAUAACUGACUGGUUUUGCUGAGAAGCCAAAGAGAACACCAGGUGUUACACCAGGAACCCAGAAAUCCACAUCUGAAGCAAACUGUAUCAAAUACAUUUGGACAAAAUUACAAAUUUGGUUGAUAAACUCUGAAAUGAUUACUUCAUGCAAUAGACUUUUGGAAGGCAUUUAUAAUAUAUUAACUAUGUACAUGUUAACUUUUUCAUAAAGAAAAUCACAGCAUUUGCAUAACUUUCAUGCUGAUUCAUAAGCUGCUAGACACAACAAUAAAACCAGCAUAGAUAUUUGAUGAAAAAAGCUUAUAGACUUAGGUUAUUCAAUAAAGCUUCUGCUGGAGCAGAAUUAAAUUAGUAUAUAAUGACAUUUUCACACUAGAAGGAAAAGUCAAGUGAAAAAAAAAAGUGAAGUCAAACAAGACAGGUAAUAUCUGCAAAAAAUCUGAUGCUGCCCUUUGGACAUUCAGCUUCAUAUCUGUGGGCUGUAGCUGUUCAUCGGGAUCCUAAAGUCACAAAAGGAAAAUUAGUCUUUGCAAUAUUAGAUCAUAAUGUAUUUUCUUAUCUGAAUGUAAGAUAAAUACACACUUUUGAUCAGUAAAAGAAAUGAAACUGGAAAAAAUUACUAAUGCAAUGCCAUAAUGGCAACAAUCUUUAACAAUUAUCCUAAUUAAACCUGCAAAAACUUGACUAUUAUCUGAAGAAAGAACCAAGGUGCCUAUGUAAACCUUGCUCUGCAUCACCCCACGGAAAGCAGGAGCAACUCUACCGAAGUCUAAAACACACGGGGCUGUUGGCAGCGGGCGUUACGUCAGGCUGCGGAGUUUCUCUAGAAGCCGCGGGUUCGAUCAGCGCGGGCCCUGCAGCGCGGCGGGGAUGUGAGCUCACGCUUGGCCAGGGAGAGGGAGGAACGAGCCUCCCCAGGCGCUGCUGAUGCAGAUGGUGUCGGCGAGGUGGAAGAAUUGCUGAGGUACCUGCCUCGUUCUGUCCGGGCUAAUGGAGCUGCUCCAGGGUUAGAGCAUCAUACACUGCAUACAGCUACCACAAAAUACGCAGGCAGCUCUUCACAAGUUCACAGUUUUUCUGUGGUGGUAGCAAUGAUUCCACAAACAAAUGAGGUUCACGUACAGGGCACUGCCACAACAGCCACAUACGCUUAUUGCACACCGUCAUUUUUAGGACUUUUCAGGAUGUUCUGUAGUACCAAGGGGUAAUAUUACAGUUACCAUUUUAAGCGCAAAUAAGACUGUUACCAUUCACCUGGUAUGUUUGUGGUACUACUUAUUACCUAGUUAGCGGUACCUACUACACUGUGCUUAAAAACUUGGUAGUAUUAUACUGGAUGAAGAAAUCUGACUGAAAACUCUGGCAAACAAGUUGUUUUUCAAAAUGAGUGGUGGCUUAAGUAAAAUUAAUGGCCAAAUUUAAAGUUAAAAAACCACAUCUGACAAACAUGCAAGUCUUAAAACAGGCAACUCUAGUCCAGCCUUGAGACUCUGGAAAUCUGGUCAGCUCAAAUGAGCUGCAUAACCCAUCAGUGUGACAUCAGUGACGAGCUGCAUCACUCGCUGGUGUGACAUCAGUGACGAGCUACAUCACUCGCCAAUGUGACAUCAGUAACGAGCUGCAUCACCUGCCGGUGUGACAUCAGUGACGAGCUGCAUCCCCUGCCGGUGUGACAUCAGUGACGAGCUGCAUCCCCUGCCGGUGUGACAUCAGUGACGAGCUGCAUCCCCUGCCGGUGUGACAACAGUGACGAGCUGCAUCCCCUGCCGGUGUGACAACAGUGACGAGCUGCAUCCCCUGCUGGUGUGACAACAGUGACGAGCUGCAUCCCCUGCCGGUGUGACAUCAGUAGCGAGCUGCAUCACUCGCUGGUGUGGCAGCAGCCCAGCCUGUGCCAACCUUGCCCGGCCCUGCCCACGCCAGCACCUGCCCCUUCCAGCAGGGGCUGUGGGCUGGCGGCACCCACGGAAAGCAGCGGCCUGCUUCAAGGGUGGAAACGCACAUCCAGAGGUCACAGGGCUGAUAAUUACUGUCACUACCCUUUCCUACGGCAAGGCCUGAGCAGUCUUCAGAGAGCUCUCCCCUAAACAGAGAUCGUAGAGCUGAAAAUGCCUUUUAGUCGCUGUCCUGUUCCACACAAAGGAUGUCUUCAUUUUAGGCGCUCUACAGGGAAUAUUUAUGCUGGAUUUCUACUUCUGCUUCACUUAUCCCAUCUGUGCUGUUUGCUCAUUAAUUUAAGGGAAGCCAGAAGCAUAAUUUUCAGUACCUUCUGCCCUUGCUAUCCUGGGCUCUCCAUUGCCCCAGGACAUGGUGUUGGCAACAGAAUGGAAACCACUACAAGGCCCUCAUCUUCCCCAGAAAUAUUUCAGCGAAGUGGCAAGAGCUGACAAUAUGUGUAUUUUUGUGCUCCCUCCCUUCACACCCCCACCCCCACUACUGCGUAUUUGCAGGGGUGCUGCUCCGCUCUGCCCGGUGCACUCGCCCUGCGCUGAGGGCAGCACCUGCUCCCUCAUCAGCUGCUCCACGGGGCUGCAGAGCUGCACUGGGCGGGCACCCCACCCCCCUCCCUUGCCCCGGGGACAGCCAGCCAAACAGGAGCAACUGAAAUAACAUGGGCUGCAGCUUUUUGUUUGGAGCACGUUUUUGUCUUUUGGUCAACAUGGUACAUGUGGCUGCUUAAAAAGUCUCACUGUUAGGGAUCAGCCUGUUUGACCCUUAUGUGAGCAGGACUGCUCUUCUGGCUGCUGUGACCCCUCCAGACACGCUCCAAUAGUGACAGCCACCACCAGCCAGGCUCACAGCGACUGAGAUCACCUUCCUGGUAUUCACACAGCCAUACAUACAGUUUGUUGCUUUUCAGACAUAUUAGGGCUACACAAAUCUGAUGAAAACACACACUUCUGCUAAGCAUCAUUGUACUAAAAAAUGCAUUGAGAGCUUUCCCUUCACAAAAAAAAAGCAGCCAAAUACCCCAGCUUUUAUCAAAGCCAAGUUUUUUGGGACCCCAGCUUUACUGUAUGCCAUGAAGGAUGUGUGCAAGAGUGUCAAACCCUGCAUUAUCACCCAUAUGGUUUUCUGACAAAAACGAGGAGCCGUGAAGCACCAGGUGCCCAGCUCUGCCACCAGCUGAAAGAGCAUCUGCUGCAAGAACAGCUCCUGCACAGCCCCCUUUGCAGAGUCAGUGCUGCUGCCCCGUACCCACCACAGCCGCUUUUCUUCCUCUCUUUAAGGACAGUGCGCAUAAAAGAUUUUUCUAUUAUUAGUCUGAAUUAUUCAUCUCUGCCAUCUCUGAAUUUCUAUCUUGCUCUUCCUUAGCUUUGAUGCCGUUUGGAUGCACUUUUUCCCAGUUGAAAGAACUACAAAGAGCAAAACACGAACCAGAGUCUUUACAUGCUUUUCUCGUUUUCAUUGUGCAUAUCCCGAGGUGUAAAAAGAAAAGCGGAAGUAUUUUCCUUGAAGAUGAUAACUGAAUUCUAUCAGAUUUAAGUGUACUGAAAGCAAAAAGAUUACUCAAGUUCUGCCCAGGACUCAUCUACAGGAGCACGUUAUUUCCCAUUAGGAAGGGUAUGUAUUUGAACAACUGCUGAACUCUGACGUUUAUUUUGUAACAAACAGUUUAAGCCGUUCAUUCAUUUUGAAGUGAUCCAAUAUAAUUCAUGCAAGUCUCUUGGACUUGCUGCGUGGGUGUUUUUAUUUGACAAGCGCUGUUGUAACAAAUACCUCUGCAUUUAUCAAUAAACCAAGGUCUUUGGCACCAGGUUUUUGUAAAUUUAAGUUUAGACAUGAACUUAGUGAGACUGUACUCAAAUAGCCUUAUUUUAUUCACCACGAGAUCACUGUUGUUAUUGAGACUAGCCUGGUGUCAAUUGCACCAUUUCGCCUCAUUUUCACACACUUCCUCAUGUCAAGAUGCUCUGAGCUUUGACAUCAUGAGUCAGAAUUUUUCUUCUAAAGCAGCUCUUCAGCAGUUGGCAGUCACUGAAGGAUUUCAUUUUGCACUACUGUAUUCCACAGAUGUAAACCAGUCACCUCUACAUCAGCAACCUCUACUUCCUCAGCAGAAGAAAAGCUAAAAUUCCAGUUGUGCCAUUUUCCCAAACACUGUCAUAUCCCCUCUCAGCCACACCGCUUUUCCUUAACUGACAGGAACAGAGCUGCUCCCUGUGCUCCCGUGAAAAGCCGACACACGCAGCCGGGGCCGGCGCUCCCUCGCCCGCCUUCCAUCACUCACAGCUCCGCUUGGCUCAGUUCCCAGGACCCCUCUCCACUCUCCUCCUGGCUCCCAAUUUUUCAUUCCUUGACAUUAGUAUUCCUUAAAAGAACAAUUAAUUUUAGACUAGAACUACUCAUUUGUGCCUUCUGGACCCUUUCCAAAUUUAACACUUCCACGGUACUUUGUCCUCUGUUUACAUCCAGUUCUCCAUCUCAGGUCUGCAGUCUGACACUGGUCCUUGUACAGCCCAUCACCUCCUUUCCCGCACUUCUGUGAGACACUGCAGUGGAAGCGAUUCCUUUUGCUCUGGUAGAGCAAUUCUCAAGAAGCCAGUAAUGAAAUAUCUUUAAUUAUAUACUGAGAUAUAAUAACACUUAAGAGCUUUAAGGCAAUUGAGCAGUUUAAAAGGAUUAUUUUACACUCUCAUUCUUCACCGUGUACUAGAAGAACACCCUUCCUCAUAGCUUAGAGGCAUAUUGCAUUUUCCUUACCAUUACUAUUAAAAACAACAAAAAAAAGCCAAUUGUUUAAAUAAUCAGAGUAUAUACAUUUUAAUGAGCCUGGUAAAACUGAGACAAAUGAAUUGUUUCUGAAUUUGUGAAUGAAUAGUGAUGUCCUCUUCUGGCAGUUGCAAAAAACCCUCAAUAUUAUUAUUUUUUUUAAAGCAUUUGUUUCUUAUUAAGAUUUAGAAUACUCAUUAUUCUGGUAACCGAGUUCCAAAUUGUGCAGCACAACACUCCUUUACACCUUGAAGCUACUUAUUUAAGCUAUUUUAUUUCAACUUCUAUAACAUUGUCAAAUCAAGGUUGCAGAAGACAGCAAAUAGCAGGUGCAGUUGUCUGCACACUCCAAAUUCUACUUCUUGUCCUGUUGAUCCCUUAAUGGGAUAAUGGGCCCCAUGGAAAACAAAACCCAAACCACCGUCACAGACGAUGUUAAACACAGGUUGUAAUGCAGCCUUUUUUUUUUUUGAUAUGUUUUUCCUGGGCAGCAUCCAGCCAUGUGUCUGAGCUGGCAUGGCCUGCACAGUGAGGCUCAUGUCAGAGAUCUGCAGUUUGACCUUUAAAAUGUUGUUAUGUCAUUGGUAAGGAUGGAACUUUUCAUAGAUAAAACUCAGUUAAACAGCUGUUAGAAAGAAAAUAUGAACUAGCAGAAAUAACACAUGAAAUAUCUAAAAAUAUUUGCCCAGCAGCUCCUGCAUCCAUCAGUGAUUUAGCAUCUGACCUAGGCUGUGCCAGCGUGGACAGAGGAACAGCAGCAAUUUCAGGGGAAUCCGAACCCACAAAAAACAGUGGAAGAUUAUAAUAAGCAACAUGAGGGACUGCCACUCUAAUAAAGCCCUCACAUUCUGAAAGAGUAUUAGAAGCGCAUACUUAUGAUCUAAAUGCAGUCACCUACAAGUUACAGUGAUUCUUUCAAAAAGCAAAGACCAGCCUUGAGGGAACUCCUGCUGCCACAGCACAGGCUCCAGCUGCUGGGAUGCUGCAAGGUCAGGAUCACUACAGGGCAGAACGUGGGUCUCAGGCCUUCACUGCUGUUAGAAAUGCACUGAGAACACAACCAGAACCUGUUGAGUACUACAGGCGCUGAUUCUGGCAUGGAAACCUCUGGGCUCUUCCAAUGUCUUAUCUGGUGUUUCAAUAGCAUUUUAAAAAUGUCAGCUCUUGACACCUUAUGUUAAAUGGCUGAGGAAUUGCUUUACAGAUUAUCUCUUCCUCCAUCUCUUGCUUUUCUAAAGUCCACAAUGUCUAAGACAUUCUCUAGCAGGGAGAGAAACUUGUAACAACAGUCCUGUGUUCUCUAACUUGAUGUACCUCAGAAGCGCUCCUCAAGACAUGGAAGGCCGCUGUACGGCUUUUGUAAUUUCUUAGUAAGGCAAGGAAUCAGUAAGGAAUAGGCAAGGAAACAUCAUGAAACAGGUGUGGUUUAUUUCUUUCCCACUUCUUUGGGAAAAGGUGGUUUCUGUAAACAGAAGUGAAUAACUAAAAUGGUUUGCACGCAAAGCAUGACUUAGUUCAACUGUCUCUAAAAGAAAGAGAUUGACUCCAAACUGUCAUUGCUACUUCUGCAUGCACUGGCUGAUCCUCCUUUUUCACACACCACAGCCAGCUCUGCCUCAUCAAGCUGUCAGAGAAAUCUGUUCAGAAGCUGCAAACCCUGCUUAAACCAGUACAAUUCCAAGGGGUAGGUCUCUCUUUAAACAAGGUUUUCAGUAGCAGCUGAGUGGGUAGAAAGAGAUUAAAAACAUUGCAAGAGGAGGAUAAAGACAAAGUUGUCUUAUAUCACACAAUACGGCUUCUCAGCCACCGAUAAGCAGCAGCACACAAGGGGACAUGAAAGCAUUAGGAAAAAUCCCCAGACAUGGUUUUAAAUGCAUAAGUUGUCACAGGAACAGAAACCCCCCUUCUCCCCAAGAGUGCAACCUCGCUUUGUGCAACCAUGCCAGUGAGGCAUAAGCACUUCUCUGAAAGCACUUUGUAAGAGUGUGGGAGGCUAUUCUGGGUAACUCAUGGAAUAGGUUUUCAAAUUUUAGUCAUAGACGACAUGAAUUACAGUAAGAAUCGGUAUUAGUGAAAAGACUACAAGGGUUUCUCCACUGGAAAAGAGUAAUUGUUGGACAAAAGGCUUCUUUUUCCCCCAAAAAAUGUGUACUUGCUAUUUAAACUAAGAACUCUUACAGAAAAACAAACACCACAUAUGAUAACAAGCAUUUAUCAUUUGACUUCUGAUGAGUAAUAAAAGCACAAUGUUCAAAAAUAAAUCCAAUAGUUUUUUUAACUUUGUAGAAACUGAUGUCAACAUGCAAACUAUCACCAGUAAAGUAUUAUUAACUUGUAACUGUUAGGAAUCACAAUAUGGCCAAUCCUCUACUACUUUGCU